UUCCCAUUCAUUCUCUAUGGUAGUGCUAAACCACUACGGGUGUAAUGCGCACUCCGGCCACUGCCGCCUUUGGCGCUGUAACCGCCUAAAACUCCGUCUCGCCUCCUCGACUGUGUCAGUGAACAGAGAAGAGGAGAGAUGAAGUCGACAUCGCCAACUACUCCUGACAUUUGGAUUUGUUUUCUUCAACUAAGGCCAGCAUGGAAAAACCAUUCAGUUUCUUUCCUGGGAGGAUGAAAGUUGUUUUCCGCAAGUGACCUCGAGGUUAUUUGUGUCAGGAUCCAACUGAUGCAGCUAAGCUUUUCAAGGACAACCCUUCUCUGCAGGACAAUUCUGCACCUCUAAAGGAGGACACAGUUAAACAAAAUGCCCUGACUGUGGUCCGUCACAGAGAGGAGGGGGUGCCACAGACAAGACAGAGGUGCUGGGGGAUUACAUCUUGCAGUUUGGCAAAUACAAGGGGAAAUCCUUUAGUUGGCUGUUGGAAAAUGAUGUAGGCUAUACAUAUAACUGUCGACCCGAGAGCACCUGGAGGGAGGUGUGGGACAGGAGGGCUGAUGGGUACGCAGUCUACAUCAUGAGAACUAAGUGUUUUCCAUGGACUCAGAUGUACAGACUGCAGCAGUACCUGAAAAGGAAACAGUCGGCCUCUGUCUGCUCUCCACCAGUUCUUGUCUCAAGUGCACCAUGAUGGAUGAUGAUGAGGAGCUGGAGAGAGCAAGAAGAGCAUAUCACCCACCAAAUAACUGGCACAGUGUUUUACCCACAAUGGCCAAAUACAUCACACACCUUGAACUGUCCCUUGAUGCAGCUGAAGAGCCAACGUUCCGAUCAAAAGGCUUCCAGAAAAACAAUGUCGAUCUGAACAAUGGGGCAGGAGGAAAGUCCAUCCAUCUCUGGUACAAAAAAGAAAGUGGCGCAGAGCCAAUCACCAGGAUUCAAUGCGCAUUCAACAGGAAGAUGGAAGAUGGAUUGAUCGAUGCGGGGUACCAAAAGGUCGUCGACUGGUUCAUCCUUUGGUACUUCCAAGGGCAAACAGAGUACGACAUUCCCAUAGUGGACAUUGAUGUCACUACAGAUGAUGACAGUGCGGCCAGGAAGUUUACCCUUGGCUGGGAGAGACUGUCCUUAGACCUGGGAUUAUUUGGAACCAGGUUCCACUUCUGGCUGAAGAGAGAGAAACCAACAUACAUCUGUGAUGUCUCUGCCACUGAAACCAACACAUCAGACGGAAGGUACUUUAAGGAAGGUUUCAUCCGCAUCGAUGACGACAUCAACAAGUCUGCAGGAGGAUCAGAUGUCUUCACCUGGUACCGUCAGACCACCGACCCCCAGCGCGCCCUCAGUGAUCUGAACGUCUCCACCAAUGAUCUUGAGUAUCAGGUCCUUCAGCGGCAGAAUUACCACCGAGUGAGUGUGAACCUCAACGAGGGGACCGGCGGUAACCAGGUGUACCUGUGGUACAAGAAACAGGCAGGCAAUGAUCGCAUUAAGGGCCUUCUUCUCAUACCAGAUGUUGUUGAAGGUUAUCGUAAGGCUGGUGUCAUUGUUAUUGAAAGAAAUCUCAACGCAGGCAACAAAGGCCCCACUGAGUACCUGUGUUUUUAUCAGUGAAAGCCUGAGAAAGCCUUCUUCAUGUUAACAGAGCUGAGAAUCAUCAACACUAGUGGAAAGCUCAGUCCAACAAUGCUGUUAAAUCAUUUUGGUGAUUGUUUCUUCUAACUUUUUUUUGCUUUUUUCAACCUUGCUGUCAAUUAAAUCAAUCAAAGUAUUUCAAAUGUCAAUUUUUAAACAAUGAUGAUAAAUGAAUUGUGGAGUUUGCUGCUUUUCAAUAAAGACACAUUUACA
ensembl:lncRNA